GCUCUAGCAGCUAACUUGAUUGGUAAGGGGGUGGAGAAGCUUAAGCAACUUGAAUAUUUGGAUAUCCCUGAAGUUCGUGAUGCUCUUGACGCUAUAAAGGAACUGAGUGACUCUGCGCUAGCACCGGAUAAGAAGGGCACCAAUACAGUGGAUAACGCCGUGUCCAAAAUGGUAUCAACGGGACCAAUUAACGACGAAGGAAAUUCUUUUAAUGAGCACUAUACGAACUACGAAAAUAAUUAUCUAAUGGAAAAUUUUCCUGACAUUUAUGAACUAUUUCAAUACGUUCCAGCUGAAACAUAUGAGUAUUCUACCCCGGAGAGUGAACAAAUUUUCGAUACGGAUCUAGCUGAAAAUUUGCAGGUUCACGGCGCAGAAGUC